rnacentral:rRNA from 1 species
GAUGAACGCUGGCGGCGUGCCUAAUACAUGCAAGUCGAGCGCAGCGGGGACGGGUGAGUAACACGUGGAUAACCUCCUAUAAGACUGGGCUUACUUCGUGAAACCGGAGCUAAACCGGAUCCUUAUAGAUGGAUCCGCGCUGCAUUAGCUAGUUGGUAAGGUAACGGCUUACCAAGGCAACGAUGCCUUGCCGACCUGCGAGGGUGAUCGGCCACACUGGAACUGAGACACGGUCCAGACUCCUACGGCAGGCAGCAGUAGGGAAUCGUCCGCAAUGGGCGAAAGCCUGACGGGGCAACGCCGCGUGAGUGAGGAAGGUCUUCGGAUCGUAAAACUCUGUUAUUAGGGAAGCGGUACCUAAUCAGAAAGCCACGGCUAACUACGUGCCAGCAACCGCGGUAAUUC